UACGGAGGGUGCGAGCGUUAAUCGGAAUGACUGGGCGUAAAGGGCAUGUAGGCGGAUGAUUAAGUUAGGUGUGAAAGCCCCGGGCUCAACCUGGGAAUAGCACUUAAAACUGGUCGUCUGGAGUAUUGUAGAGGGAGGUAGAAUUCCACGUGUAGCGGUGAAAUGCGUAGAGAUGUGGAGGAAUACCGGUGGCGAAGGCGGCCUUCUGGACAGAUACUGACGCUGAGAUGCGAAAGCGUGGGGAGCAAACAGG
rnacentral:rRNA from 1 species